rnacentral:misc_RNA from 1 species
UACGGAGGGAGCUAGCGUUGUUCGGAAUUACUGGGCGUAAAGCGCGCGUAGGCGGCUAUCCAAGUCAGGGGUGAAAUCCCGGAGCUUAACUCCGGAACUGCCCUUGAAACUAGGUAGCUAGAAUACUGGAGAGGUGAGUGGAAUUCCGAGUGUAGAGGUGAAAUUCGUAGAUAUUCGGAAGAACACCAGUGGCGAAGGCGACUCACUGGACAGUUAUUGACGCUGAGGUGCGAAAGCGUGGGGAGCAAACAGG